rnacentral:tRNA from 1 species
GGAGAUUUAGCUCAAUGGUAGAGCACUUGCCUAGCAAGCGCAAGGCCCUGGGUUCGGUCCCCAGCUCUG